rnacentral:lncRNA from 1 species
GGGUAGUAGUGUGAUGCGGACAGGCGAAUAAACAUGAAUAGUGUUGGCGAAGAAUGUAAGGAUCUCAAGAAGGCAUAUGAUGAAUGUUUUAAUGAUUGGUUUUCCAACAAAUUUCUGAGAGGGGAGAAGAGCGAACCGUGUCCUGAACUUUUCAAAAGCUACCAGAAGUGUGUCAAGAAAGCCAUAUCAGAUAAAAAUAUAGAACUGUGGGAAAUUGAAAGAGAGGUACUGGGGACCAAAGAUGAGAAGAAACCACCACAAUAGCUUUUGAACUAAGCAUUGCAGUAUCUCCAUAGCAACAGGAAAGCUGAUAUUCCUUGACCAAUCAGAAUUGUCAAAAGUGAGCUAGAGCACAAAGUGGACACAAAUCUUAUUGAAAGUCGGCCAUUUGAUGCAGAAAUAAUUGCUAGGAUUAUAAAUCCUACAUAUUGCUGUUAUUGCACUGAAAACAUUCCAUCUGGUUGUGUUUUUACACUAAUUCAUAAUUCAGAAGAGAAAGAUGAAAAAGCUAUGCAGGGUACUUUUUAUAUGUUGAGCUUUUUUGUUUUAUUUUGAUAGUUGUGUUUGCAACAUGUGUAUUUGUGAUAAGUAUAUGUACAAGUAAAUAAAAGAUAACAAAUGAAAAAUUA